CUCGUAGGUGGUUUGUCGCGUUGUUCGUGAAAACUCACAGCUUAACUGUGGGCGUGCGGGCGAUACGGGCAGACUAGAGUACUGCAGGGGAGACUGGAAUUCCUGGUGUAGCGGUGGAAUGCGCAGAUAUCAGGAGGAACACCGGUGGCGAAGGCGGGUCUCUGGGCAGUAACUGACGCUGAGGAGCGAAAGCGUGGGUAGCGAACAGGAUUAGAUACCCUGGUAGUCCACGCCGUAAACGGUGGGUACUAGGUGUGGGUUUCCUUCCUUGGGAUCCGUGCCGUAGCUAACGCAUUAAGUACCCCGCCUGGGGAGUACGGUCGCAAGACUAAAACUCAAAGGAGUUGACGGGGGCCCGCACAAGCGGCGGAGCGUGUGGAUUAAUUCGAUGCAACGCGAAGAACCUUACCUGGGUUUGACAUGCACAGGACGUAUCUAGAGAUAGGUAUUCCCUUGUGGCCUGUGUGCAGGUGGUGCAUGGCUGUCGUCAGCUCGUGUCGUGAGAUGUUGGGUCAAGUCCCGCAACGAGCGCAACCCUUGUCCUAUGUUGCCAGCGGGUAAUGCCGGGGACUCGUAGGAGACUGCCGGGGUCAACUCGGAGGAAGGUGGGGAUGACGUCAAGUCAUCAUGCCCCUUAUGUCCAGGGCUUCACACAUGCUACAAUGGCCAGUACAGAGGGCUGCGAAGCCGUAAGGUGGAGCGAAUCCCUUAAAGCUGGUCUCAGUUCGGAUUGGGGUCUGCAACUCGACCCCAUGAAGUCGGAGUCGCUAGUAAUCGCAGAUCAGCAACGCUGCGGUGAAUACGUUCCCGGGCCUUGCACUCACCGCCCGUC
rnacentral:rRNA from 1 species